GACGUUUUUUUUAUAUGCCAGCAGAAAUGUAAUACAAAAGAAGCAAAUAAUAGAAAUUUACUACUUUAAAACAUAAUUGUUCUUUCCAAGUACCUAUAUUUAAUUAUCCGCAAAGGACCAACUGAUUCAAAGCUCCAAAUUUGCAUAUGGCUUAAAUUUGCUGAAUUUGUUCUAUCUCCUGCAAUUCUAAGUCUGCUUCAUCAUCAAUGUUUGUUGUUGUUGUUGUCAUAAAUAUGGUAUGAACAGGAAUCGUUGGCAGCACAAGUUGAACAUUCAGCUUAAAACUCCUCCACAUGUUAGAGAUAUAAGCAGUGCAUAAGUAGAGCAACAUAAUUAUGGAGUAGGUAUACCAAAAGAUAUCUUGUGAGAAGAAUUAAGGGUGUAAGUGGUCCGAUUUUACUGAUUUUUGACAGAUUUUCAAAUCAAACCGUUUACACUGGUUUGAAAAAAUUCCAAACCUAAACCAAACCAUUUUAAACGGUUUGAAAAAAACUCAAACAUAAACCUAACAGCUUGGUCUGAUUUUAAACCGCCGAUUUCGUCAUAUAUUUUUUUCCCGUCUACUCUUAUGUCAUUAAUUCAUUAAAUUCAAUAUAUAUUUAUAUCUUACUAGUAAUAAAUCUAAAACAAACUAAACCUCUGUUUGAACAAAAUUUCUGGAACAAAAAAAUGAAAAUUUGAACCAUUAUCCCACAAAUCCAACCACCUUUGUCGACCUGUUAUUUCAUGUGUGGGACCCAGCCUCCUCUCCAACGAUCAAUUUUCUCGUUAUGAUGAUAUAGAAAAUAUGGCUCAAAUAGAGACUA
rnacentral:lncRNA from 1 species